AAUAAGAAUAUCAAACGGCACACUACAAAAAAAUAGAGAGGAAAUAUUGCAGAUGGAUCUGCCCUGGCCCAAAGUCGCGUAGGGGCCGAGUAGUACACGUGUACACACUUCUGUACCUGUGCAGUUGGUGCUCUCGGAGUUGCGUCUGGCAAUGGCUUCUAACUUAGCUGCAGCGUGUAGCGUUCGAAGCUUGGUCAUGUACGGGCUCGUUUGUAUCGUCGCAUUUUCAGCUUGUGUGAGCGCGCACACCCACGGGCAUUCACACAGCAGCACGCCGUCUAAAUCGGUUCAGUUUCGAGAAAGAUGGGACGCCACCGAUGUGGUCCGAGACAUAGAGCAUAUAAAAGAGGACCUGGCUACUCUUGUGGACAUGAAGAACACCGGAGAGCUGACGGACGAGGAGAUCACCUUUUAUUUUUUCCGCAUGCACGACUUCGACGACAACACGAAUGCUGGACGGCAUUGAGUUAUUGUCCGCUAUGCAACAUACCAUCGACCACGGCUUCGCGCCACCUGACUUGGGUCAGCAGAGCCUUGACGAUAUGAUUAAUCUUGUCGACGGCGCCUUGAUGCUUGAUACAAACAACGAUGGCUUUGUUUCCUAUCCGGAAUUGAGAGUAACACUUAAGCAUAAGUAGAAGUUCAUCACGAAGUGGAGCGUUUCCAACGUCUAAUACUGAUAGCAAUAAUACUUAAUACCUUUACUUAUACUACCUCCUGUGACAAAUAAAGGCUUACGGAAUG